CAGCCGCCGCGGUAAUACGGAGGGGGCUGGCGUUGCUCGGAAUCACUGGGCGUAAAGGGUGCGUAGGCGGGUCUUUAAGUCAGGGGUGAAAUCCUGGAGCUCAACUCCAGAACUGCCUUUGAUACUGAAGAUCUUGAGUUCGGGAGAGGUGAGUGGAACUGCGAGUGUAGAGGUGAAAUUCGUAGAUAUUCGCAAGAACACCAGUGGCGAAGGCGGCUCACUGGCCCGAUACUGACGCUGAGGCACGAAAGCGUGGGGAGCAAACAGGAUUAGAUACCCCCGUAGUCCCUGUCUCUUAUAC
rnacentral:rRNA from 1 species